rnacentral:rRNA from 1 species
AUUGAACGCUGGCGGCAGGCCUAACACAUGCAAGUCGAACGGUAACAGGAAGCAGCUUGCUGCUUCGCUGACGAGUGGCGGACGGGUGAGUAAUGUCUGGGAAACUGCCUGAUGGAGGGGGAUAACUACUGGAAACGGUAGCUAAUACCGCAUAACGUCGCAAGACCAAAGAGGGGGACCUUAGGGCCUCUUGCCAUCGGAUGUGCCCAGAUGGGAUUAGCUAGUAGGUGGGGUAACGGCUCACCUAGGCGACGAUCCCUAGCUGGUCUGAGAGGAUGACCAGCCACACUGGAACUGAGACACGGUCCAGACUCCUACGGGAGGCAGCAGUGGGGAAUAUUGCACAAUGGGCGCAAGCCUGAUGCAGCCAUGCCGCGUGUAUGAAGAAGGCCUUCGGGUUGUAAAGUACUUUCAGCGGGGAGGAAGGGAGUAAAGUUAAUACCUCUGCUCAUUGACGUUACCCGCAGAAGAAGCACCGGCUAACUCCGUG